rnacentral:rRNA from 1 species
GACGAACGCUGGCGGCGUGCUUAACACAUGCAAGUCGAACGGAAAGGCCCUGCUUUUGUGGGGUGCUCGAGUGGCGAACGGGUGAGUAACACGUGAGUAACCUGCCCUUGACUUUGGGAUAACUUCAGGAAACUGGGGCUAAUACCGGAUAGGAGCCCCUGCUGCAUGGUGGGGGUUGGAAAGUUUCGGCGGUUGGGGAUGGACUCGCGGCUUAUCAGCUUGUUGGUGGGGUAGUGGCUUACCAAGGCUUUGACGGGUAGCCGGCCUGAGAGGGUGACCGGCCACAUUGGGACUGAAAUACGGCCCAGACUCCUACGGGAGGCAGCAGUGGGGAAUAUUGCAUAAUGGGCGGAAGCCUGAUGCAGCAACGCCGCGUGCGGGAUGACGGCCUUCGGGUUGUAAACCGCUUUCGCCUGUGACGAAGCGUGAGUGACGGUAAUGGGUAAAGAAGCACCGGCUAACUACGUG